rnacentral:rRNA from 1 species
GCCAGCAGCCGCGGUAACACCGGCAGCUCUAGUGGUAGUCAGUUUUAUUGGGCCUAAAGCGUCCGUAGCCGGUUUAAUAAGUCUCUGGUGAAAUCCUGUAGCUUAACUGUGGGAAUUGCUGGAGAUACUAUUAGACUUGAGACCGGGAGAGGUUAGAGGUACUCCCAGGGUAGAGGUGAAAUUCUGUAAUCCUGGGAGGACCGCCUGUUGCGAAGGCGUCUAACUGGAACGGUUCUGACGGUGAGGGACGAAAGUUAGGGGCGCGAACCGGAUUAGAUACCCGGGUAGUCCUAACCGUAAACGAUGCGGACUUGGUGUUGGGGUGGCUUUGAGCUGCUCCAGUGCCGAAGGGAAGCUGUUAAGUCCGCCGCCUGGGAAGUACGGUCGCAAGACUGAAACUUAAAGGAGUUGGCGGGGGAGCACCACAACGCGUGGAGCCUGCGGUUUUAAAUUGGAUUCAACGCCGGACAUCUCACCAGAGGCGACAGCUGUAUGAUAGCCAGGCUGAUGACUUUGCUUGACUAGCUGAGGAGUGGUGCAUGG